AUUAAACGCUGGCGGCAUGCCUUACACAUGCAAGUCGAACGGCAGCACGGGGGCAACCCUGGUGGCGAGUGGCGAACGGGUGAGUAAAGCAUCGGAACGUGCCCUGGAGUGGGGGAUAACGUAGCGAAAGUUACGCUAAUACCGCAUAUUCUGUGAGCAGGAAAGCAGGGGAUCGCAAGACCUUGCGCUCUGGGAGCGGCCGAUGUCGGAUUAGCUAGUUGGUGGGGUAAAGCCUACCAAGGCGACGAUCCGUAGCGGGUCUGAGAGGAUGAUCCGCCACACUGGGACUGAGACACGGCCCAGACUCCUACGGGAGGCAGCAGUGGGGAAUUUUGGACAAUGGGCGAAAGCCUGAUCCAGCCAUGCCGCGUGAGUGAAGAAGGCC
rnacentral:rRNA from 1 species